rnacentral:rRNA from 1 species
CCUACGGGUGGCAGCAGUGAGGAAUAUUGGUCAAUGGCCGGAAGGCUGAACCAGCCAUGCCGCGUGAAGGUCAGUGCCCUAUGGGCGUUAAACUUCUUUUGUGCGGGAGCAAUAAUGGUCACGUGUGGCCAGACGAGAGUACCGUACGAAUAAGCAUCGGCUAACUCCGUGCCAGCAGCCGCGGUAAUACGGGGGAUGCAAGCGUUAUCCGGGUUUAUUGGGUUUAAAGGGUGCGUAGGCUGUGAGGUAAAUCAGCGGUGAAAUGCCCCCGCUCAACGGGGUGAAGUGCCAUUGAUACUGCCUGGCUGGAAUGCGGAUGCCGUGGGAGGAAUGUGUGGUGUAGCGGUGAAAUGCAUAGAUAUCACACAGAACACCGAUUGCGAAGGCAUCUCACGAAUCCGCGAUUGACGCUGAUGCACGAAAGCGUGGGUAUCAAACAGGAUUAGAUACCCCAGUAGUC